ACUGCUCAGUAACACGUGGACAAUCUGCCCUGAAGUGGAGGAUAAUCCCGGGAAACUGGGGGUAAUACUCCAUAGUUCGUGAUGACUGGAAUGUUUUGCGAACGAAAGAUCCGUCGCUUCAGGAUGAGUCUGCGGCCGAUUAGGUAGUUGUUGGGGUAACGGCCCAACAAGCCUGUCAUCGGUACGGGUUGUGGGAGCAAGAGCCCGGAGAUGGAUUCUGAGACACGAAUCCAGGCCCUACGGGGCGCAGCAGGCGCGAAAACUUUACCAUGCGGGCAACCGUGAUAAGGAAACCCCGAGUGCCAGCACAGGCUGGCUGUCCGCCAGUGUAAAUAACUGGUGAAGAAAGGGCCGGGCAAGACCGGUGCCAGCCGCCGCGGUAAUACCGGCGGCUCGAGUGGUGGCCACUAUUACUGGGCUUAAAGGGUCCGUAGCUGGAUGUACAAGUCUCUUGAGAAAUCCGCCGGCUUAACCGGUGGGCGUUCAGGGGAAACUGUAUUUCUAGGGACCGGGAGAGGUGAGAGGUACUGCCGGGGUAGGAGUGAAAUCCUGUAAUCCCGGUGGGACCACCUAUGGCGAAGGCAUCUCACCAGAACGGGUCCGACAGUGAGGGACGAAAGCUGGGGGAGCAAACCGGAUUAGAUACCCGGGUAGUCCCAGCUGUAAACGAUGCGCGUUAGGUGUGUCAGUGACCACGUGUCACUGAGGUGCCGAAGGGAAACCGUGAAACGCGCCGCCUGGGGAGUACGGUCGCAAGGCUGAAACUUAAAGGAAUUGGCGGGGGAGCAC
rnacentral:rRNA from 1 species